CCAAAAAUAUUACCAAACACCUCAAUCCACUCUUAAAUCUUCCAUAAACACAUUCUAGCUACUUAUAUUCAAGAGAAUCCUUGAAGAAGAGCUUCAAAGCUAGAGUGAGAAAGUGUGAAUCUUGGUAAGAAAUUUGGGUCCGGGCGACAGGAAGUGAAGCCGAAGAAGAAGCGACUCCACGCUAGCUUAAGAACGUUUGAGGUUGAGCAGCUGAUGGAAUGGAAUGGUGUUGAGCGGGUGUUCCUUUGAUCAUUUCAAGAAAUGUAACCUUGAGUAUACAUCUUCAUAUGUAUAUCUCACACGUUUUCCGCUGCAAAACACUUUGAUUAGGAUAACUCUAUGUUAUGAAAUUGUUACACGUGUUAUUGAGUAACCCACCUUAAUCAGUUCUCCUUUA